GGGAACGUGCCCUUCGGUUCGGAAUAACUCAGGGAAACUUGAGCUAAUACCGGAUACGCCCUUUUGGGGAAAGGCUUGACUGCCGAAGGAUCGGCCCGCGUCUGAUUAGCUAGUUGGUGAGGUUAUGGCUCACCAAGGCGACGAUCAGUAGCUGGUCUGAGAGGAUGAUCAGCCACACUGGGACUGAGACACGGCCCAGACUCCUACGGGAGGCAGCAGUGGGGAAUAUGGACAAUGGGGGCAACCCUGAUCCAGCCAUGCCGCGUGAGUGAUGACGGCCUUAGGGUUGUAAAGCUCUUUUCUCCGGGACGAUAAUGACGGUACCGGAGGAAUAAGCCCCGGCUAACUUCGUGCCAGCAGCCGCGGUAAUACGAAGGGGGCUAGCGUUGCUCGGAAUCACUGGGCGUAAAGGGCGCGUAGGCGGCUGAUUUAGUCGAGGGUGAAAGCCCGUGGCUCAACCACGGAAUGGCCUUCGAUACUGGUUGGCUUGAGACCGGAAGAGGACAGCGGAACUGCGAGU
rnacentral:rRNA from 1 species